GAUGAACGCUGGCGGCGUGCUUAACACAUGCAAGUCGAACGGGAAACCUUUUACUGAAGCUUCGGCAGAUUUAGCUGGUUUCUAGUGGCGGACGGGUGAGUAACGCGUGGGUAACCUGCCUUAUACAGGGGGAUAACAGUCAGAAAUGACUGCUAAUACCGCAUAAGCGCACAGGACCGCAUGGUCCGGUGUGAAAAACUCCGGUGGUAUAAGAUGGACCCGCGUUGGAUUAGCUUGUUGGUGGGGUAACGGCUCACCAAGGCGACGAUCCAUAGCCGGCCUGAGAGGGUGAACGGCCACAUUGGGACUGAGACACGGACCAGACUCCUACGGGAGGCAGCAGUGGGGAAUAUUGCACAAUGGGGGAAACCCUGAUGCAGCGACGCCGCGUGAAGGAAGAAGUAUCUCGGUAUGUAAACUUCUAUCAGCAGGGAAGAUAGUGACGGUACCUGACUAAGAAGCCCCGGCUAACUACGUG
rnacentral:rRNA from 1 species